AAAGGUUACAAAUUGACACGUUAAUAAUGAAUAUAUAUAAACCUCCUAUUUAUUCAUUAAGAGCUCAAAAUGAAGAACUGGCACAGAUAAGUCGAGAUCAGGAAAACGGAUAUGACGUUAUUAGACCGCCAAACGCGUUUAUUUUAAUUUGACAAUUCAGUGCAACAUACGAAGAACUGAAGCACAGGAAAGAGGAACACGGAUAUGAAAAACUGUCAGAUCCUACAAUUAUAUUUAACAACGAAAAACAACAAAAUAAUUUGACUGGUGACGGAAAACAACAAAAUAAGACUGGUCUCCGAAAACAAAGCUUUGGACCACCUACAACACAAAGUAAUAGACAAUCUCAGCAUUUUGAAGAUUAUCUUUCACCAAUUUGAUAUAGAAGAUAAAAAAAACAAGCAAAGUUAAUAUAUUUUAUACAAGAACAAAUGAUUUCAACUUUACACCUCAAAACAAAUAUGAGAAUUACAACAAAAGUGUGUUUUCAUAUUUGAGAUUUUUCCGAAAAAGAAAGAAAGAAAGAAAGUUGUUAAGUGUUUUAUGCUCUUCUAAAUUCUUCAAAAAAUAGAUUUUGUGUCAU